rnacentral:rRNA from 1 species
CUACGUGCCAGCAGCCGCGGUAAUACAUAUGGGGCGAGCGUUAUCCGGAUUUAUUGGGUGUAAAGGGUGCGUAGGCGGGAAAAUAAGUCAGUAUGUGAAAUCCCUCGGCUCAACUGAGGAACUGCAACUGAAACUAUUUUUCUUGAGUGUUGAAGGGGAAAGUGGAAUUCCUAGUGUAGCGGUGAAAUGCGUAGAGAUUAGGAGGAACACCAGUGGCGAAGGCGACUUUCUGGGCAACAACUGACGCUGAGGCACGAAAGUGUGGGGAGCAAACAGGAUUAGAUACCCUGGUAGUCCACACCGUAAACGAUGGAUACUAGGAGUUGGUAAAAAUAUUAUCGGUUCCGCAGUUAACGCAUUAAGUAUCCCACCUGGGGAGUACGACCGCAAGGUUAAAACUCAAAGGAAUUGACGGGGGCCCGCACAAGCAGUGGAGUAUGUGGUUUAAUUCGAAGCAACGCGAAGAACCUUACCAGGGCUUGACAUAUACAGGAAUAUAUAAGAGAUUAUA